rnacentral:misc_RNA from 1 species
UAUAAGGAAAUCAUUGACUAAAAAUAAAAACCGAAAUAUAGGGAAAAGCGAUCAUUGACUAGACAGGAGGCGAUAUUGGUAAAAACAUUCAAACCUAGCUCGGAAAGAUUGCUUAUUUAUUUAUUUAUUUUUGGGUAACAUAAUAUUGCUUAUUAUUACUCUAGAUAUAAGGAAAUCAUUUACUAAGAAGGAAAUUAUGGACUGAUGUCUUCUUCUUCUUCUUCU